rnacentral:rRNA from 1 species
GACGAACGCUGGCGGCGUGCUUAACACAUGCAAGUCGAACGGAAAGGCCCUGCUUUUGUGGGGUGCUCGAGUGGCGAACGGGUGAGUAACACGUGAGUAACCUGCCCUUGACUUUGGGAUAACUUCAGGAAACUGGGGCUAAUACCGGAUAGGAGCUCCUGCUGCAUGGUGGGGGUUGGAAAGUUUCGGCGGUUGGGGAUGGACUCGCGGCUUAUCAGCUUGUUGGUGGGGUAGUGGCUUACCAAGGCUUUGACGGGUAGCCGGCCUGAGAGGGUGACCGGCCACAUUGGGACUGAGAUGCGGCCGAGACUACUACGGGAGGCAGCAGUGGGGAAUAUUGCACAAUGGGCGGAAGCCUGAUGCAGCAACGCCGCGUGCGGGAUGACGGCCUUCGGGUUGUAAACCGCUUUCGCCUGUGACGAAGCGUGAGUGACGGUAAUGGGUAAAGAAGCACCGGCUAACCACG